UAGGGAAUCUUCCGCAAUGGACGCAAGUCUGACGGAGCAACGCCGCGUGAGUGAAGAAGGAUUUCGGUUCGUAAAACUCUGUUGUUAGAGAAGAACAGCGCAUAGAGUAACUGUUAUGCGUGUGACGGUAUCUAACCAGAAAGCCACGGCUAACUACGUGCCAGCAGCCGCGGUAAUACGUAGGUGGCAAGCGUUGUCCGGAUUUAUUGGGCGUAAAGCGAGCGCAGGCGGUCAAUUAAGUCUGAUGUGAAAGCCCCCGGCUCAACCGGGGAGGGUCAUUGGAAACUGGUUGACUUGAGUGCAGAAGAGGAGAGUGGAAUUCCAUGUGUGGCGGUGAAAUGCGUAGAUAUAUGGAGGAACACGAGUGGCGAAGGCGACUCUCUGGUCUGUAACGGACGCUGAGGUUCGAAAGCGUGGGUAGCAAACAGG
rnacentral:rRNA from 1 species